CAGCAGCCGCGGUAAUACAGAGGGUGCAAGCGUUAAUCGGAAUUACUGGGCGUAAAGCGCGCGUAGGUGGUUCGCCAAGUUGGAUGUGAAAUCCCCGGGCUCAACCUGGGAACUGCAUCCAAAACUGGCGAGCUAGAGUAUGGUAGAGGGUGGUGGAAUUUCCUGUGUAGCGGUGAAAUGCGUAGAUAUAGGAAGGAACAUCAGUGGCGAAGGCGACCACCUGGACUGAUACUGACACUGAGGUGCGAAAGCGUGGGGAGCAAACAGGAUUAGAUACCCCUGUAGUCCCUGUCUCUUAUAC
rnacentral:rRNA from 1 species